CUUUAGCACAGACAACGGUGGAAACCUCUCGACUGAAACCUCUCGACUGAAACCUCCGUUCCUCACGACCGCUAGAUCCUCCGCCGGAGUCAGUGGUCGAAUCCACAGUAUGCGGUGGUGAAUGGGUUUCCCUUCGCGUGUCCGCCGCUCGUCGCUCGCAAACCGUCAUCCUCCAUCGCCAGCUAACAAGCUUAAGGGAAAAGGCUGAACCUUCAUCCUCCAUCGCCAGAGCUUAAGGAGCAACAAAAGUGCACCUCUCAAGGGAAAAUGUCUUUGAGUCUUGCCACCGCUCUCCACCGUUCGCCGGCGACGCUUUGAUUCUGCUAGCGAAAAUCGUGUACAGAAGUGUUAGAGGAACCAUUGAUAGGGACAAAAAGGCUUGUGCUUGCUGCUUCAUCAAACACAAAAUCUGUUUCUGUUGCUAAUUCACAGGUAAAAAUCUAUUUAGAUAAUGUCAAAGAUUACCAGUUAAAAGGACUUUAAUGUUGUUAUUUAACACAUAAGGUAAAUCUAUACAAUAUUUCUCUCAUCUACUUGAUUUAGACUUUUUUUUGAUGUCUAGAGUUUGAUAAUAUUUGAAGUAUGACCUAACCUAAAAGCUUAUGAUAAUUCUAUAUAUGGUGGACCAUGUUAAAAAUGGGUUCAUCCAUUAACCAUGUUCUUACUAGUAAUAAUUAGUACAUGUUAUUUACAAUAUGUUUCGUAUGUGCUAAAACUAAUUUGAAGCGAAGUCAUUUUAACUAAUUUUACCUAUCCAUUAAGCACAUGCAAUCAUCAUAUACAAAAUAUUGAAAGAAAAUGGUUGAUUCACAUUCACACACUAACAUUAAAACUGAUAAUAGUAAACAAUGUUAGUGUGCCAUGUGAGUUUUAUGCAGUAGACAUAGAUGAUGAAGAAUUAGAGGAUGAUUUGGAUGGCAUUUGAUUUAGAUGAAUAUAUGUAUUUGAUACUAUGUUUUUAAUUAUACUUGACAUUUUACCAUGAUGGAUUCACUACUAUGGUUAUGUAGGUUGAACAUGAUCUUAAAUAUGAAACUUCAAAUCAAUAGUAUAUUUUGAAUUAGUUCUAUUUGGGGAAAAUAUUCAAAUUGAAUUGUUAUUGCACAGGGAAAAAAAACUGCUAAAAAAAAAAAUUUGUCAAUUACACCGUGGGAAAUUAGCGACGGAUUUUGUCCCUCUCUAACAUUUAUAAAUUAGAGAGGGAACUUUACAGGAAGUUAGCGACGGAAAGCUACAAUCCGUCUUAAAUAGCGACGGAACAAUCCGUCGCAAAUAGCGACGUCAUAUGUAUUCCGUCGUAAAUAGCGACGGAAAAAGCCGUCGCUAAUAGCGACGGAAACAUACGUUAAUCAUGUAAGCGCAUUAGCGACGGAAAAGUAAUACGAU